CACGUAUGCAACUUGCCUCUAUCAGGGGAAUAGCCCAGAGAAAUUUGGAUUAAUACCCCAUAGUAUCAUUUUAUCGCAUGAUUUAAUGAUUAAAACUCCGGUGGAUAGAGAUAGGCAUGCGGCCCAUUAGUUUGUUGGUGAGGUAACGGCUCACCAAGACUACGAUGGGUAGGGGGUCUGAGAGGAUGAUCCCCCACACUGGUACUGAGACACGGACCAGACUCCUACGGGAGGCAGCAGUGAGGAAUAUUGCGCAAUGGACGAAAGUCUGACGCAGCCAUACCGCGUGCAGGAAGACGG
rnacentral:rRNA from 1 species